rnacentral:rRNA from 1 species
CGAACGCUGGCGGCGUAGCCUAAUACAUGCAAGUCAACGGUCUUUCUAUGGAAGCUUGCUUCCACUGAGAAGAUAGUGGCGAACGGGUGAGUAACACGUGGGUAACCUGCCCAUAAGAGGGGGGAUAACAUCCGGAAACGGGUGCUAAUACCGCAUAGUUUCUUGAUCGCAUGAUCGGGAAAGGAAAGACGGCCUUUGUGCUGUCGCUUAUGGAUGGACCCGCGGCGUAUUAGUUAGUUGGUGAGGUAACGGCUCACCAAGACGAUGAUACGUAGCCGACCUGAGAGGGUGAUCGGCCACAUUGGGACUGAGACACGGCCCAAACUCCUACGGGAGGCAGCAGUAGGGAAUCUUCCGCAAUGGACGAAAGUCUGACGGAGCAACGCCGCGUGAGUGAAGAAAAGGUUUUCGGAUCGUAAAACUCUGUCGUCAGAGAAGAACAAGUUGGAGAGUAACUGCUCCAGCCUUGACGGUAUCUGACCAGGAAGCCACGGCUAACUACGUGCCAGCAGCCGC